UACGCAUGAUAGUUUUCUCCGCAAGAUACUUCCAACAUCUUAAACGUGGCGUGGUUUCCAACUGAAGUGCUUCGUCCUGAGUCUUCCCUGCUGCCGUUCCUCCCUCCCAAAUCCCCCCUCAACUCCGAACCAACCGACCCUGUAGCCGCGGCGGCCGGAGACCGAACAACUGCCGCCUUACUGGCGACCGGCUCCAUUAAAAUGGUUUCCGAUCAAACGGGCGGCAGCCCUGCGAGCGGACGACCGAGGGGGGAGAUCCGAGGAAGCGGCGGGGAGGAUCGAUGGCGAAGGGGACGACGGAGAUGGAGGUCGGGUCCGACGGCGUCGCCGUCAUCUACAUCGCCAACCCGCCCGUGAACGCCCUCUCCAUCGACGUCCUGUUUAGCUUGAAAGGGCACUAUGAAGAGGUGCUUCGAAGGAAUGAUGUGAAAGCUAUUGUUCUUACAGGAAGUGGAAGGUCAUUUUCUGCUGGACUCGAUAUUAGUGCCUUCGCUGAUAUUCGCAAACCGGAGCAGCUAAAGGAUCACUGCAUAUUGAUUGAAGCCAUGACUGAUAUCUUCGAAGAUGCUGGGAAGCCAUCAGUGGCUGCUAUUGAUGGCCCUGCUCUUGGUGGAGGUUUAGAAAUUUCCAUGGUAUGCCAAGCACGCAUUUCAACUCCUAAUGCUCAAUUAGGCCUCACGGAGCUUCAGUUUGGAGUAAUACCUGGAUUUGGAGGAACACAGCGCCUUCCCCGCCUUGUUGGACUGACAAAAGCACUUGAAAUGAUGAUGCUCUCGAAGCCAAUUAAAGCCGAAGAAGCCCAUGAGCUGGGUCUGGUCGACGCUGUUGUUUCACCUAACGAUUUGUUGAAUAAUGCCCGCCGUUGGGCUUUGGACAUCUAUGAGUCGAAAAGGCCAUGGGCCCGAGCCCUCUACAAAACUGACAAGCUUGAAUCCCCUGAUCUGGCCAGAGAGAUCCUCAAUUCUGCCAGAGUUCAGUCUCGGAAGUGGGCUGCCAAUCUUCAGUAUCCAUUCGUCUGUAUCGAUGCUGUCGAAGAAGGUAUAGUUUCAGGGCCACAAGCCGGGCUUCGGAAGGAAGCCAUGGCUUUUCAGGAACUCUUUUUCUCAGAUACAUGUAAAAGCUUGAUUCAUGUGUUCUUUUCACAACGUGCAACAUCAAAGCAGGUUCCUGGGAUCACAGACUUAGGUUUGAUGCCAAGGAAGGUAUCUAACGUUGCCAUUGUUGGUGGUGGACUUAUGGGUUCUGGAAUCGCAACCGCGCUGAUACUGAGCCAUUAUCCUGUUAUACUGAAAGAAGUCAACGAGGAAUUCCUAAACGCAGGAAUUGACAGGAUCAAAGAAAACUUGCAGAGUCGUGUAAGGAAAGGAAAAAUGACAAAGGAGAAAUAUGACAAGACCCUCUCACUUCUUACAGGUGUCCUCGAUUAUGAAAAAUUCAAGAGUGUUGACUUAGCAAUCGAGACAGUCGUAGAGAAUGUGAAGUUGAAGCAGCAGAUUUUUGCUGAACUGGAGCAACACUGUCCUUCCCAUUGUAUUCUUGCCACCAACACUUCCACCAUUGAUCUUGACCUGAUCGGAGAGAAGACAAAUUCCCAAGACCGCAUUGUUGGCACACACUUCUUCGCUCCAGCUCAUAUCAUGCCUCUUCUUGAGAUAGUCCACACCCCUCGCGCCUCUUUGCAAGCAGUUGUCACCUUGCUGGAUGUGGGGAAGAAGAUCAAGAAGACACCAAUAGUGGUCAGAAACUGUACCGGCUUCGCGGUCAACCGGAUGUUCUUUCCGUACACUCAGGCAGCACUAUGGCUUGUCGAUCAUGGAAUGGAUGUUUACAAGAUCGAUCAGGCUUGUACUGAAUUCGGGAUGCCAAUUGGUCCAUUCAGAAUGACAGAUCUGGUUGGUUUUGGAGUUGCUCUAGCCACAGGCAUGCAGCACCUUGAAAACUUCCCUGAGCGGGUCUACAAGUCAAUGCUGAUUUCUCUCAUGACUGAGGACAAAAGAACAGGUGAAGCCUCUCAAAAGGGGUUUUACAGGUAUGAUAGUAAGAGGAAGGCGAGCCCUGAUCCUGAAAUCAUGAACUAUCUCGAGGAGUCGAGGAGAAUUGCAGGAGCCACACCUGAUCCCGAGUUGCUCAAGCUUGACAACAGCGCGAUAGCAGAGAUGGUGUUGUUCCCGGUUAUCAACGAAGCCUGCCGUGUCCUGGGGGAGGGCAUUGCCUUCAAGGCCUCUGACCUCGACAUCGCCUCCAUCUUCGGAAUGGGUUUCCCGCCAUACAGGGGUGGCAUCAUGCACUGGGCGGAUUCCAUCGGCGCAAGGCGCAUUUGCGCGAUGCUGUCGGAGUGGGAGACCAAUUGUGAAAUGCAACCAGGGGUGGCAUCAUGCACUGGGCGGAUUCCAUCGGCGCAAGGCGCAUUUGCGCGAUGCUGUCGGAGUGGGAGAUGAAGUAUGGCCAGUUCUUCAAACCUUGCAGCCACCUGUUGGAGAGGGCGGCUGAAGGUCUUCCUCUGAGCGCAUUGGCGACGAAGACGAUGAACAACCAGGCCAAGGACAAGCUGUAGUUUCUUUUCCUCAUUCUACCAUCAUUUGUUUUUUGCUUAGGUUGAUGCAGAAUAAGAAUAACGUGGCUUCAAAUCGCUUCAGACUGGGAAGCUGCUGAGUCAUGGAAGGGGAGAGCCAGAAGACUGAAUAAACAAGUAACGAUUUGAAAAGAAGUUUCUUGUUAUUUGGCCGAGGUGAUUUCACAAAAGUUGAUCAUGCAAAAUGUGUCUGAAUAAGAGUGAUCAAAGAUGCGCCGCACGAACUCCAUUCGAAUUGUAUCAAAUUUCGAUCAUUGGAUAUAUCAUGUGCGACUGGAUUAUAUAGGGAGUUUAAAUCUUGGUGUGUGAAAGAGGUGUUCAAGCAGGAUGAUCUAGCAAGAGUUUGAACUUUGUACUCCUGUUUUGCAAGUAUUUAGUGCACUAUUAAGUUGUGUUUUAUAAUAAGCAGGUCACUCGUCUGAGAUCAUAAGUGGUCUUGUUAA